rnacentral:rRNA from 1 species
UACGAAGGGGGCUAGCGUUGCUCGGAAUCACUGGGCGUAAAGGGUGCGUAGGCGGGUCUUUUAAGUCAGGGGUGAAAUCCUGGAGCUCAACUCCAGAACUGCCUUUGAUACUGAAGAUCUUGAGUUCGGGAGAGGUGAGUGGAACUGCGAGUGUAGAGGUGAAAUUCGUAGAUAUUCGCAAGAACACCAGUGGCGAAGGCGGCUCGCUGGACCGGUUCUGACGCUGAGGCGCGAAAGCGUGGGGAGCGAACGGG